AUGCUCACUUUGGCAGUACAUGUACCAGAAUUGUAAUGAUACAAAGAUGAUUAGCAUGUCCCCUGGGCAAGUAUGGUGUUCAAAUUCAUGAAGCAUUCUGUAUUUUU